CCUACGGGUGGCAGCAGUGGGGAAUAUUGCACAAUGGGGGAAACCCUGCUGCAGCGACGCCGCGUGAGUGAAGAAGUAUUUCGUUAUGUAAAGCUCUAUCAGCAGGGAAGAAAAUGACGGUACCUGAGUAAGAAGCCCCGGCUAACUACGUGCCAGCAGCCGCGGUAAUACGUAGGGGGCAAGCGUUAUCCGGAUUUACUGGGUGUAAAGGGAGCGUAGACGGCAGUGCAAGUCUGGAGUGAAAGGCCGGGGCUCAACCCCGGGACUGCUCUGGAAACUGUGCGGCUGGAGUGCAGGAGAGGUAAGUGGAAGUCCUAGUGUAGCGGUGAAAUGCGUAGAUAUUAGGAGGAACACCAGGGGCGAAGGCGGCUUGCUGGACUGUAACUGACGUUGAGGCUCGAAAGCGUGGGGAGCAAACAGGAUUAGAUACCCGAGUAGUC
rnacentral:rRNA from 1 species